UGGCUCAGAUUGAACGCUGGCGGCAGGCCUAACACAUGCAAGUCGAGCGGCAGCGGGAAAGUAGCUUGCUACUUUUGCCGGCGAGCGGCGGACGGGUGAGUAAUGCCUGGGGAUCUGCCCAGUCGAGGGGGAUAACAGUUGGAAACGACUGCUAAUACCGCAUACGCCCUACGGGGGAAAGGAGGGGACCUUCGGGCCUUUCGCGAUUGGAUGAACCCAGGUGGGAUUAGCUAGUUGGUGGGGUAAUGGCUCACCAAGGCGACGAUCCCUAGCUGGUCUGAGAGGAUGAUCAGCCACACUGGAACUGAGACACGGUCCAGACUCCUACGGGAGGCAGCAGUGGGGAAUAUUGCACAAUGGGGGAAACCCUGAUGCAGCCAUGCCGCGUGUGUGAAGAAGGCCUUCGGGUUGUAAAGCACUUUCAGCGAGGAGGAAAGGUUGGCGCCUAAUACGUGUCAACUGUGACGUUACUCGCAGAAGAAGCACGGCUAA
rnacentral:rRNA from 1 species